UAUUCAAUUGUUCAGGGACACAUUAUCAAUACUCAAGUAACUCUUAAUUAUAAAGUGAACUGCUGCAUGCUAAUGCUCAUCAGAACCAUUUCCUGUUUCAAUUGUUUUCGAAUUUCAAAAAUGAAGCUAUAACAAGAACAUGAGAUUAAACUAGCUAAGACUAAGCCACAACUUCCAAUUUUUGCAGUUUGCAAAUUUAAAAAAAUCUACAGUCCAUAGCCUAUAUUAAUAGUCCAAUAUUUAACACAUACAAAUCGACACUUAGCUAUGACAAGAGAUUACAUUUAACAUCUAUUUAACUACUAACAUAUGAUAUUCCAGCAGGCAUUCUUCAGGAUCAAACAAACGGGCAGUUUAUUCCAUUUUUGCAAGCUCGAAAUUACAGCUGAGAUUCAAAGGUAUACCUGGACUCAAAAUAGAACAAGAGAUUGAGAGGUCAGCAGCAGCAAACAAACCAGAAAAGCAGAUUCAACAAGCCAGGAGGAUUUCGAAAUCAAAACAACAGCAUUAUGACCAGCAAUAAUCCAUUAUACUCAGUGGCGGAUCUAGGAUUUUAAGGUCGUGGGUGCUUACUUUCCUUUAAGUGCACAAUUAUUCGAAUGCAAGAGUAAAAGACUUAAUGUGAAAACUACUAAUAAUAUUAACAUUACCAAAAUAACUUCUAGUCACAAUCACAACUGUGAUCGACGACUUUUCACAUGUUGAAAACGGUGAAUAAUGGCAUUGUUGUUUACAGUUGAGAAUAUCUUACGCUCUACAUAGCAAACUAAACAACUAUUUAAAAAUCCAUCACAUAUGCUAUUACGAAGCUCAUUUUUUAUGUAGUUCAUGGAAGAGAAAGCACGUUCCACAGAAGCGGUAGCAACAGGCAGAAUGAGAGUCAACUUGAUAAGUAAAUACACUAGUGGCCAAGUUUGAUGCAGGUCUGACUUAACCAACACUUUAGAAAGGUCACUAAUUCCCUUCAUGUUGAAGAACCUCUUGUCAUGACCACGAGCAUAAACUAUAAAACUAUCAAGCUGGAAACUAAGGUGUUGAAGAACCUCUUGUCAUGACUACGAGCAUAAACUAUAAAACUAUCAAACAAGAUUUAGUUCAAAUUAAUUUCAUUCGAAAUUUACUACACAUUUUGUUAAUUAAUUUCUAUUGUGAAAACCCCCCUCAAUCAACAACACAGACAACACUGCAAUAUUUUUCAUUGAAUUUGCUUUAAAAGAAUAAACAUUAAACAAUAAGCAUGAAAAGGAUUCAAAACCCUUCUACAAAAUAUAAAGCUUAUUAGUUAUUACCUUAUGCUAUGUUCUGAUUUUGAGAUUGUUGUGAAUGACAGGAGAGUUUGCUAACUAUUUCGUCUACUUUGUUUUUCGAUUUUCCUUCACUGCGUUCCUAAUAAGUAAAAAACUGAAGAAGGGUUUAAUUUUAAAGUUUUUUGGAAAGUGGAAACAAUGUCUUUCAUUCUUAUUCCUAAAUCCUAAUCUAAUAAGUAAAAAAACUGAAGAAGGGUUUAAUUUUAAAGUUUUCUGGAAGGUGGAAACAAUGUCUUUCAUUCUUAUUCCUAAAUCCUAAAUAUAAUUAAUAUAAGAAAGUAUAAAGGUGAAAGAAAAUAGGAAAAGGAGAAAAAAGACAGCAAAGGAAACUUUUUUUUUGGGGAAAUAAAAUUUUAUUCCAACCAUUUGGUAAUUUUUACAUCAUCUGUUCCUUUGCAAUGUCAAAAGCAAAGAAAGACGGUCGUUGACAACCACUAAAGAGAAUAGGAAAAGUUAAAAAAAUAAUUCCACAAAAUACAAAAAGUAAUUGAGAAUUGCUGUGACAAGGAUUCGAACCUGGGUGUUUUGCACUCAGCAUAGGAUUUUAUUCAUGCAUCAGAACCACAGCACCCAUCAGUCAUUUUGUUUAUUGGGUGCUGGCUAAAUUAUUGUAUCCAAUUUGGUAUAUUUUUAAUAUAGCUAUACAUAGUUUAUGUCAAGGUUAAUAGGUGCUUAAGCACCUAAAUAUAACAUGUACAUCCGCCCCUGAAUAUACUACCACACUUGAUGAACUAUACCAACAGCAACAGCAAAUAUCCAAAAACAGACCCAACCGAACUCGAAUACUCCAAAAUUGAACCACUGGACCUUAGAAGAAACUCCAGCGAAUCAAAAUUAAGUUAGAAGAUCAACAUCCACCACUGACAUUCGAAAUUGACUUAAAAAUUCAAUAGAAUAGUGGUUUUUUGAGUUUUCUGCUAUUUUUCCUUUUUUUGUUUUCUUUUUGUUUGGUGUUUGAAAGCUUUUGAGAUUUGAAAUUCAGAUGAUGAAGAUCAGAUCACAGAAUGAUUCUUGGGGGGGAGUUUUUGGAGCCCAAAACCUUGCUUCUCAAGGUAUUUUGAUGCCUUUUAUAGGCCUAAGGGAGGGCAGCCUCAAUUUGCACUUUUCAUAUUAGUCCCUCACUUUUCAGCUUUUAAUCCCUCAUUUAUUAACUUGUUACUCAAGUAAGUACCUCUUAUUUUACUGAAAUCUACACUAAAGUAUAUUUUAGAAAGUCCUAGGGUGUUCUUUUAGCUACACAAAACCUAUACUACCCUUGUCUUUAUUUAGAAAUUACCAUUCCUAAUAGAACUACCCUUUUCCAUGACUAAACUACCCUCAUUUUCUCCCUGAAAUUACUACCUCAGUUAACUAAACCAAGCCCUUACCCAAGUUAAGAAUUAACUAUAUGUAACUCAAUUCAGCUACAUCCAAUCAACCUAAGCUAAGCCUAAAGACUAAAUGACCUAAUGAAUUACCCCAAGAUACUUACGGAUUAAACCAAUUAGGCUGAAUCAGGACUUCACAAAUCAAAUCAGAUGAAGAAAUUAAACAUAUACUAACCAGAACUGAAUAAAAUCCAUAGUAUAAACAGACACCAUUAUUAUUGAAACACAUUAAGACUGAACUGGGAUUAACAAACCAAAAGUAAGAACAAUUGUAUCAUGAUUAGAUUAAACACAUAACAGAAAGAAAAUAAAUUAUAACGAGAUUAACAAGAACACAGUUGAGUCAAGCAUUCAUGAAAAUGAGAGAAACACAAUUAACAAAAAUGAACAUAUGAACUGGCUGAUUGAGACAGAUGGAACGAAAAGGAAGAAAAAGAGAAACUAAACUAUACUAAUGAAGACAAGAUCAUAAAACUAAAGGACACUUACCACAGAAACCACUCGACCCUGAAAAAAAUCCCCAAAAUAGGCCAGGCCGGACGAACCCUAGAUCCGAAAUUUGUUGAGCUUCAAUGAGAUUCGAAGCGUUUUGACCGAAGAUUCGAGAUGAGGAAAGGCCGUAGACUAUCUGGUAUCGAUUUGGGAUUAUUUGGACGAUUUGGUGUUUUGGACCCGAAUUUCAAACGCAUAUUUGAGGAGCCUGGGUUUGAUUCGAGGGAAACUGUUAGCAUGGUUGGAAAGAGGAGAGUGAGGAGAGUGAGGGGUGUAAGUUUGGUGGUGGUCUGUGUCGGCGCCGCCACCGGCGGCCUAGGGAUUUUAUGGCGGCGGGAUUAGGGUUCAUGACUUGGGUCUCUGGUGAAGAAGGAGACGAGAGGUGAGGAAGGGGAGUGGGGAGUGUUUGGACACUCCUAUCUCAAUUUGGAUCAGA
rnacentral:lncRNA from 1 species